rnacentral:tRNA from 1 species
GGAGCGGUAGCUCAGCCUGGGAGAGCGCCUGACUGAAGAUCAGGUUGUCGGGGGUUCAAAUCCCCCCCGCUCCA